GGAACAUUGGUCGUGUAUCCCUCCGCCACUGCUAUUUCUGCUACUUCUGCGAUUUCUGCUACGUACAACCGUAUGAAAAAGUUACAUCUGUCAACACAGAAAAUUGCAUCUCAACAAACCUGACAUUGGCAAGUACCUGGACUACAUUUCAGUCACUCAGUAAAGUGAUAACUCAAAAUAUCAUUGUCAACAGAUCUGAAGAAAUUGCCACUGCGUCUUUAGACCGUUUUCGUCAGACGAGAGACACAGUUCUGACUGAUUACUGGUUGCUGUACGUAUCUAUCCACAUCAAGGCUGUUGAGAGAGACUCGUGAAGAUUCAAGACAGCUCUUAGAGGAUUUGCAGUUUAAAAGUGAAAUAAGUGUGUGAAUGAUUAAACUGUGUUUUAUUGAAGUUGUUGUGCGAUUUUAAAGGAAUAAUAAAUGUCAAAUACAGUGA